GACGAACGCUGGCGGCGUGCUUAACACAUGCAAGUCGAACGGAAAGGCCCUGCUUUUGUGGGGUGCUCGAGUGGCGAACGGGUGAGUAACACGUGAGUAACCUGCCCUUGACUUUGGGAUAACUUCAGGAAACUGGGGCUAAUACCGGAUAGGAGCUCCUGCUGCAUGGUGGGGGUUGGAAAGUUUCGGCGGUUGGGGAUGGACUCGCGGCUUAUCAGCUUGUUGGUGGGGUAGUGGCUUACCAAGGCUUUGACGGGUAGCCGGCCUGAGAGGGUGACCGGCCACAUUGGGACUGAGAUGCGGCCCAGACUCCUACGGGAGGCAGCAGUGGGGAAUAUUGCACAAUGGGCGGAAGCCUGAUGCAGCAACGCCGCGUGCGGGAUGACGGCCUUCGGGUUGUAAACCGCUUUCGCCUGUGACGAAGCGUGAGUGACGGCAAUGGGUAAAGAAGCACCGGCUAACUACGUG
rnacentral:rRNA from 1 species